CCAAAGCAAGAAACAACCUCUCCUAAAGAUAAUAGGGACAGUAAGCAUCUUGUUUAAGGAAGCUGAGAAGUUCAGAGUUUAUAUAUUCAAGAAUUAGAAGCAAGACCUUGUGGUACAUAAACUACCUUCUUCAGCCGAACAGGCAUUUCUGAGAAUGAAAGACCACAUCUUUGGAAGCCUGCAAUUUUAAGCAAGUUUUUGGGAUUCAUGGAAACAGAAGAUCAAAUUACUUUUCCAGAAGGCUUUUCUGUAUGCUCCAGGAAGAUACUGAAGAUACCAAAUAGUGGA